CCAGCCGUAAACGUUGGAUACUAGGUGUGGGUGUCGCAGGGCAUCCGUGCCGCAGUUAACGCGUUAAGUAUCCCGCCUGGGGAAUACGGUCGCAAGACUGAAACUCAAAGGAAUUGACGGGGGCCCGCACAAGCGGUGGAGCACGUGGUUUAAUUCGAUGCAAACCGAAGAACCUUACCUGGAUUUGACAUGCAGGUUUAAUGGUGGAGAGAUUCACUUGACCGUGCAUUUAUGUACGGAGUCUGCACAGGUGC
rnacentral:rRNA from 1 species